AUGAUUCAGUUGCCAAAUGUUCCCCUGGGUUCGCUGGUCUCUUCCUCUCAAAAGAUGUUCCCGGUGCUAACAAUAUUGGUCCAAUUAGAUUCCUCCAAGGAGGUUUUUGCAUCUGAUGUCAUUACUUGUGUUGGCCGGAUCAUCGGAAUCGUUGUGGCAGACACCCAUGAUAAUGCAAAAGCUGCUGCAAAUAAAGUAAAUAUCAAGUAUUCUGAGCUGCCAGCAAUCCUCUCAAUAGAGGAAGCUAUCAAAGCUGGUAGUUUUCAUCCACAUACCACGAGAUGCCUUUCGAAAGGGGAUGUUGAACUAUGUUUUGCAUCCAAUACAUGCGAUAAAAUUAUAGAAGGAGAAGUUCGAGUCGGAGGUCAAGAGCACUUCUACAUGGAACCUCAAUGCACUCUUGUCUGGCCAGUUGAUUCUGGAAAUGAAAUACAUAUGAUCUCAUCUACUCAAGUAUGCUCUGUUCUUUAA
rnacentral:rRNA from 1 species